CCGGGGUAGCCGAGAGGGAAGGGGGAGACGUGCCCGACCCCUUAAAGUUCCUGUCCUCAAUGGAUGACAAACUAGGUGGAAGCAUAUGAGUGUGAAGAGCUUUUUUCCUGAGCAGCUUCAUUCAGGCUGGGAGAAUGUAGAAGCUGAGCCUUCACAGUCUUCUAGGGAGAAAAGGAGAAGAAGGUACCAUUUUCUGCUUGUCUCACAUCUCCAGGGUAGCAGUGGGACAGAAAUUCCAGGACGAGACAAGAGACCAGCUUGGAUCCGGAAUCCAGUUCCUGUCUGUUCCUGAGUCCAGUCUGGGACUUCCCCAGUGCCUGCCAGUUGCGCGAUUGUCAUCCUGGAAGCUUGAUAUGAUGGCUUGGAGACUAAAACAUAACCUACAGCUGAUGGAAUACCACUCUGUUCUCAAUGGAUGAAGCAUUACAUUGGCUCAGCUUCUUUCUUUCUUUUCACUUUUCCACUUGGAUAGGGAGAACAGUCUAGAACAGGUUUUUGUAAAGAAGGAGUGGGAUAGCGUUUGGAGAGUUAUAAUAAAUCUAAUUGUAAUAUCACAGGACUGUUUGACUCACAAGUUGGAUUUUUUUCCCUGUAUUUCCUGUUUCCAUUAGUGUCAGUUUCUUGUUAAAGAGCAGUUCCUGCAGAAAAUACCAACUGCACUGGGCUCCUUUGUUCUUCCACUAGCUUACACAUGAUUUUCCAGUCAUGAUUUGAAGAACUGAACAUUGUGUGACUGAGUUAUUCUAGAUGCAGGUCUGGAGAACUUAGGACAAAGAUGCCUUGGAGGACCAGCAGGUACUAUAGAAUCUACAGUCUACCAUUCUUUCUGCUUCAUUUUUCCUAGAAUAGGGGAUUAUGCGUGUUAUUGGAUUUAAAGGAUUUCUAAGUUUGUAUAUUAUAUCUCUGUAUUAAUUGACAAUGUAUUGCUUGCAGAGACUGUACCUCUGUAACUUUCAGCUUUUGCCUCUUGCAUCAUGUGUGUGCGUGUUCUUUUCCUAGUGAUGUUUCCAGAUGAUGCAGAAUUAAUACUAGCUGAGCUAUAUUUAUCCCUCCUCGCCCAGAAGGAUGGGUGGAUGAAAGUAGUGAGUAAUGGGAAAAGUUGCUGCUUAACAAACUGCAGAGGAUGGUGGCUUUUGUUUGAGCUCUGUUCUUUCAUAGCCAUCCAAAUUUUUUAGCAACUUUCAUACAUUUCUGUGGGAAUCUUUGGUACUUACAAGGUAUAAUAAAGCAUAGCAUCUGGCUUUAGAAUUGAACAGUAGGGAAAUAAAACUUUUGCUCCUUAAAAUACAGAAGUUAUUCCAUACUGAACUGUACUAUGUUGAGCUCUGAUUGUACCAUAUGCCUGCUUACUGCUCUCUUCUCAGCAGCAGUAUCACCUAUCUGUUAUCUGCGUGGAAGGUUGUGGUUUUGCUCUUUGGAAGGUAUGACCAGCCAGUAUAACCAGCUCAGAGAUGUAAGAUUAAAAAGUGGGGCCAUGAGAAGCAGGGAAGGAACCUGUUUGCUAAUGUCAGAUAUUCCCACACCUUGUCUUGAACUCCUUCCUGAUCAUACAAUUUUCUGUUGGGGUAAAGUCACCUGUCUUUAAGGAUGCAGGGUCUUAUGGACAUAGGACCCCUUCCAACAUCUAUUUUCAAUAGUAUAUGCCUAUUUAUAUAUAGGUCUCCCUUAUUAUGCAGUGUUGUCAGCAAAAUAAAAUGCAGAUUGUGCCUUCUUGGAUUAAUCAGGUGACAUAGUUCCUUCUGCAAAAAAGCCUCCAUGAAACACCUCUGGCUGGUCUGGCAUUUCAGUUCUACAGUGAACUGCCAAACCAGCUAAAACAGGAGAGAUCAGCUCAGCUACAAGCUCCUCUGGCCUCUGCAGCCACUUCCUUUGUUGUUUGAUCUUUGUAUUCAAGAAUUUCCUGCAAUAAUUUUGUUUUGUCUUUGUGUGACAGACAAUUGCUGCUCCAGACACUGCGACAGAGGCCUGGAACAAGAAAAUACCUCGCUGAACUUCUAAAAUCUCAAAUCUAUCAUUUAGAAUAGAACUACAAUGUUGGAUGGCCUCAAAUUAGACUUUAUCCUAGCUGUAAGCCUUUUGCAAUUUACUUUCCCACGAUAAUGCAGCCAACCAACCUGAAAUUCCCAUAUACGUAAUGGAUUGUAAGGAAGUGUAGCACUUUGGGUUUGUUGUGAGUCAGUCAUUUUAGGCUUCAAAAAAAAAUAAAUCUCUGUGUAUAUGUGCAACAUAUAAUUAUAGGAGAAGAGGAAGCAAUGGCUUCCAUACAAAGAUUACUGAAUUCUUUCAAAUUAAAAAAUUCUUAUGAUCUUUUAUUAGAUGUUCUGUGCCUCCAUGGGUAGCAACAGGCCUUUGAAACUUCUCAGGAGGAUAAUCCUGGCAUCCUUUUUGUUGGCUUUGUGAAAAAACAUUUAGAUUGCAUGAAUUAUAAACUAUUGAAGAAUGCCAUUUCUUGUCUUUGGUCUGUGCUAUACAUUUAGUUUUAGCAACAGGUCAAAAUCCUGCAAUAAUCUACAGAGCUUGUGGGUGCCCUGUGUCAGCAUCUUUCUUCAGUGUGCUACAUACUCUGGGUGGGACACACAGACAAUCAUAGUGACCCUUCAACUUGGAAUAUUCUUUUGUCACAAGUGUUGUCCACUGGGAGUAAAGAAUUGACGGUUCUACAGUUGUUUCUUUUCCUGACUGGUAAUAACAAUUUUAUAUUAUACAAUACCUGCUGUGCAUUUACAUAGACUAGGAUAAACCAAGACAGAGCAUUGCCUACAGCUGGGGUAUCAGCCUAGGUCUUGGGAGAUGUAGGUUCAGUUCCCUAGCUGGCCACAGAUAAUAAGCGUUGUUAUACAAAUUAGCCUUCCUGUGCCUCAGUUUCUUUUCUGUAGGAUAGGAAGAAGAGGAUUUUUCUAUGUUCCUGGCAUAGGGUGAGACUAAAUGCAUUAAAAACUGCUAGGUGCUCUGGUAACGUAGUGCACAAAGAACUUUGUGAUAUUUCACUUGGUUGUGUUAAAUUUACUUAGAUCUGUUCAUUAUAUAGUCUAAAGACAACAGACUCCUGUACAUUAAGGAAAAAAACCCAACAACCAAACCCAACCCUGUACCAUAACAUGUAUUAUGAGAAGGCAGAAUUAAAUUGCACAAUUUAUUGUUGCUAUGUCUUAGUUAUUGAGAGCGUCACUAAUUAAAUGUAAUUCUAGCCUAAUGCUAUAGUGUGCUGUAUAAUGUAACUUAGGGGAUUUUUCAUUGUAUUCAGGCCAUACCAUGGUCGACAAAACUGUCAUUAACUUCAGUGGAAACCAGAUGAGAUUGCUGCAUAAAAAUUUCAGGAAAGUUUUUUUUUCCUUCUGUCAUCAAAGCUUUUAGGUUGUUCUGGUUUUUGAAAACUCUUAGCUCAUAAUAUAUUGCAUUAUAAAGCCUGUACAAAAACUUUAAAGAAUGCUAACAAGGUUAGAAAGUGAAGCUUUCCAAAGACAUCAGAAAAUGCUGAACUUCAAGGUGCCUUUGCAAUAAAACAGUGAGAGAACUUAUGUCAAAACUGUGCUCAUUCACAAUCGCCGUGUAGCCUUACUGUGCUCAUCCCACACUGCUGCCAUGUAAUAGGAAAAUAAUAAUUAAAUGUAUCCCAGAGGUGGUUUUAGACAUAAUUCUGCUUUGCUUGGGGACAGGGGAGGAAUCAAAGAGCCAAAAUGCAAGAGGCUUUCUUAGGACAUGUAUCAGAUUGGACACUGUGCUUCUGUGUUGCAGGAAAGGAUAAAAAAGCAAUAACCCUAGGCAAAAGUAAAAAUAUUAGCUCUUCUUUCUCUUGUAAGAGUCUCCACAAGGAAGGAAAAUGUAAAUCAAGGCCAUUAGUUAACAGCAGAAAACUCAAAGCAA